AAAGUUAGAAUAAGAUUGCAAAUUAACUAGCUCACUUUAUUUUUCUCCCUUUCCCUUACUUCUACCCAACAAAAUCCCUUGUAGCUUACUCCUCUGGCAUUUUCUCUGUUGGAGAUAAUGAGUAUUGAAAUUGGAUGCUUAGUAAUAAUUCCUCACUUUUGCAACAUCUUCAAGGAAUGUGAUGUCUCAUUCAAGAAAAUUCUACUGGAUUUAAGCAAACAAAUGAACCAAAUCUUCAUAAAUGAUAAGAUGUAUUUAUUGGAUAAAACAAAAAUAUAUCCUGUUCAAAAUCAUUAGUCUAACUUUUGUUCCUUGUAUUUACCAAAAGGUAUUCAGUUUUUUCUUUUUCUUUCCAUGCUUUCACAAGUGAAGGUGAUACAGUCUCAAAACUAACAUGAAUUGGUUAAUGGGAGGCAAACGAAAUUUUAGGUCAUGUUUGUGGCCCUUCAAAACUCAACUCUACCCACAAAAAUCUUAUUCCUUAAGUAUUUAAUUACUUUCAUUGAGUUUUCUUACGUAUCACAGGAGUAACACUGACAGUGAGUUCAUGUAACAUAUGAAAAAUAUCUGCUAGGUUGGUACUACAAAACUGGCAAAUGACUGUGUUGGAGGGCUUUGUUUACUCUUGAAGUUACAGUGUGAGAGGUAGUGUACACCUGCCUGUUAGCUUCCACUGCCUCCCUUGUGGAUGUGUAUGUUUGAUCCUUAGUGCUUUUGUGUGUGGCCUAGGUUUGGGAAAUUAAGUAAGACUAGUUUACAUUUGAUUGAUUUCUACCAAGUUUAGUCAACCCAUCAUUAAUUAUGUCAAGUGCUGAAAAAAAAUGUUGACGAUAUCUGAAUGAAUAUCUAGCAGCUAAUCAAAAGUAAGUUUUUCAUAUCAAGCAGAAGUUAACAGUAAGCUCACCAAAAACCGUUCUUUUAAGAAAUCAAGUUUUCACAUGUUUUAUUUUUGCCAGAGAAAUCUUUUUGAAUGUCUUUUUAAAAUUUGAUUACUGUUACAAUGUUUUCUAUAAGUUAAUUUGCAUAUGUGACUUUAGGUACAUAAGAAUUUAUGUAAGUAAAUUACAUUAAAAGUUACUCAGUGAGGUUGCAAAUUUAAGUUAAAUGUUAAUACCAUCUAGUAUAAAUGAAUAUAUCACUUAGUGAAGGAUUAUAAUUAAUGUUGUUUUGACUGAUAAUUGAUCUCUUAUAUAUUAUAACUAAUGCUAUUAGUGGAAUGUAAGGAAAUUUCUAUACAGGAUUUCCUAGAAUGCAGAAUUAGUGGAAUGUAAAGAAAUUUUGCCUAUAUAGAAUUUGAGACAAAAACAAGAUUUUCUGAGAAUUUGGGUCUCUUUUACAAAUAUAUAAAGCUUGCUUAGAUGGCUCUGAAGUUAAACUUUUCCUUGAGGAGAAAUGGGAGUUCAAGGAGAUGAAGCUUAUUGGAGAGGGUUUUGGAAGGGAAAGCCUAUUAGCUCAUACAAGAUUUGUGGAGGCAUAGUUUGGUUCCUGUAUUCCUUUGUCACCAAAUCUUUUCCAGAAUGCAAGAGCAAAUCUAUAACAAGUCCAUAUUUUUUAUAUUAUAACUUUGCAUAACCUAGUAUCUUAGUCUUUCUGUGUUAUUAUUUAUCUUUGGAUGUAAAUUUUCCAGUGAAGAAUUAUGUCAUUAGAAAUUCAUUCUUGAUACCUCUUUAUAAACUGUAGUUUAUAAGCAACUUUUAAACCAUUAAAUGAGACCAGAAGUAUUUAAAAUGCUACUUUAUUAAAGAUUUUUCUAGACUGUAUUAAGUAAUUAAUGUUUUUUAAACACUAUCUUUAGUAUGUUAACCUUUUUCUAAUUACUGGGAGAUGGUGAACAUUUAUUGUAUGUUGCUAUAAUAUGGCGGUACUCUCAGGGGUUUAGAUGUGGGUAGGGGAAUGUGUCCUUAUUCAUAAAACCUUAGGCUAGGUGGUGCUUUUAUUAUACUUGUCUGCUUUACACGUAUCUUCUGUGGCAGUGCCUGUGUUAAGAAACCUCAUUUAUUUACAGUGCAUUGAACAGCUUUUCUCCUUUCUUUUCUCCCACGUAGCUUCAAAACAUUUUAAUUUGCUGUAGAGUGGAAAUAAUUUAACCAAGGUUUUUUGGAACAAAGAGAUAACCAGGGGCAUCUGGAUGGCUCAGUCGGUUGUGUCCAACUUCAGCCUAGGUCAUGAUCUCGCCAUUCUCAAGUUCAAGCCUCGCGUUGUGCUGUGUGCCGACAGCUCAGAGCCUGGAGCCUGUUUCAGAUUGUGUCUCCCUCUCUCUCUGCCCCACCCCACUCAUGCUCUGUCUCCCUCAAAAAUAAACAUUAAACAUUUUUUAAAA